GACGAACGCUGGCGGCGUGCUUAACACAUGCAAGUCGAACGAAGUGGCGAACGGGUGAGUAACGCGUAAUCAACCUGCCCCUCCGAGGGGGACAACAGUUGGAAACGACUGCUAAUACCGCAUACUGAAGGAGGGGCUUGUGUCGGCUUAGCUAGUUGGCGGGGUAACGGCCCACCAAGGCGGUGAUCAGUAGCCGGUCGGAGGGGAUGGAUGGCCGCAAUGGGACUGUGACACGGCCCAGAGUCAUACGGGAGGCAGCAGUGGGGAAUCUUCCGCAAUGGGCGAAAGUCUGACGGAGCAAGGCCGAGUGAGUGAGGAGGGCCGUCGGGUUGGGAAGCUCUGUUAAUCGGGACGCGGUACCGGAAUAGAAAGCCACGGCUAACUACGUGCCAGCAGCCGCGGUAAUUC
rnacentral:rRNA from 1 species